AGUCACUGACAUUAGAUACCCCUGUAGUCCCAGCCGUAAACUAUGCGCGUUAGGUGUAUCGGUGACCACGAGUUACCGAGGUGCCGAAGGGAAACCGUGAAACGUGCCGCCUGGGAAGUACGGUCGCAAGGCUGAAACUUAAAGGAAUUGGCGGGGGAGUACCGCAACGGGAGGAGCGUGCGGUUUAAUUGGAUUCAACACCGUAAAACUCACCAGGGAAGACUGUUACAUGAAGGCCGAGAUGAAGACUCUGCUAGAUUUUCAG
rnacentral:rRNA from 1 species